rnacentral:rRNA from 1 species
UACGUAGGGGGCAAGCGUUGUCCGGAAUCAUUGGGCGUAAAGAGCGCGUAGGCGGUCCGGUAAGUCCGCUCUGAAAGUCCGGGGCUCAACCCCGGGAGGCGGGCGGAUACUGUCGGGCUAGAGUCCGGAAGAGGCGAGUGGAAUUCCUGGUGUAGCGGUGAAAUGCGCAGAUAUCGGGAGGAACACCAAUAGCGAAGGCAGCUCGCUGGGACGUGACUGACGCUGAGACGCGAAAGCGUGGGGAGCAAACAGG